CAAGGAAUUUUCCACAAUGGGCGCAAGCCUGAUGGAGCAACGCCGCGUGCAGGAUGACGGCUUUCGGGUUGUAAACUGCUUUUUGGGGGAAGACAUCGACGGUACCCCCAGAAUAAGCCUCGGCUAACUCUGUGCCAGCAGCCGCGGUAAGACAGAGGAGGCAAGCGUUGUCCGGACUUACUGGGCGUAAAGCGUCCGCAGGUGGUCGUGCAAGUGCGCUGUGAAAGCGCUCGGCUUAACUGAGCGAGGCCAGUGCAGACUGCACAACUCGAGGCCGGGAGAGGUCGGUGGAAUUGCCGGUGUAGUGGUGAAAUGCGUAGAGAUCGGCAGGAACACCCAAGGGGAAGCCAGCUGACUGGCCCGGUCCUGACACUCAGGGCGACAGCGUGGGGAGCGAACCGGAUUAGAUACCCGGGUAGUCCACGCCGUAAACGAUGGACACUCGUCCUCUGCGGAGUAACCGAUUC
rnacentral:rRNA from 1 species